UCCAGAUACGGCGACAUGGUUCCGGCCACUAUCGCAGGAAAAAUCGUUGGCGGCGUCUGCUCCCUGAGUGGUGUCCUUGUGAUCGCACUACCCGUACCUGUUAUCGUUUCCAAC
rfam:Tribolium castaneum strain Georgia GA2 linkage group LGX, whole genome shotgun sequence.